GAAAAAUCGUGGCCGAGUGGUUAAGGCGAUGGAUUCGAAAUCCAUUGGGGUCUCCCCACACAGGUUCGAAUCCUGUCGGCUGCG
rnacentral:tRNA from 1 species